CAUGCAGUAGAACGCUGAAGACUUUAGCUUGCUAAAGUUGGAAGAGUUGCGAACGGGUGAGUAACGCGUAGGUAACCUGCCUACUAGCGGGGGAUAACUAUUGGAAACGAUAGCUAAUACCGCAUAACAGCAUUUAACCCAUGUUAGAUGCUUGAAAGGAGCAAUUGCUUCACUAGUAGAUGGACCUGCGUUGUAUUAGCUAGUUGGUGAGGUAACGGCUCACCAAGGCGACGAUACAUAGCCGACCUGAGAGGGUGAUCGGCCACACUGGGACUGAGACACGGCCCAGACUCCUACGGGAGGCAGCAGUAGGGAAUCUUCGGCAAUGGGGGCAACCCUGACCGAGCAACGCCGCGUGAGUGAAGAAGGUUUUCGGAUCGUAAAGCUCUGUUGUAAGAGAAGAACGUGUGUGAGAGUGGAAAGUUCACACAGUGACGGUAACUUACCAGAAAGGGACGGCUAACUACGUGCCAGCAGCCGCGGUAAUACGUAGGUCCCGAGCGUUGUCCGGAUUUAUUGGGCGUAAAGCGAGCGCAGGCGGUUUAAUAAGUCUGAAGUUAAAGGCAGUGGCUUAACCAUUGUUCGCUUUGGAAACUGUUAGACUUGAGUGCAGAAGGGGAGAGUGGAAUUCCAUGUGUAGCGGUGAAAUGCGUAGAUAUAUGGAGGAACACCGGUGGCGAAAGCGGCUCUCUGGUCUGUAACUGACGCUGAGGCUCGAAAGCGUGGGGAGCAAACAGGAUUAGAUACCCUGGUAGUCCACGCCGUAACGAUGAGUGCUAGGUGUUAGGCCCUUUCCGGGGCUUAGUGCCGCAGCUAACGCAUUAAGCACUCCGCCUGGGGAGUACGACCGCAGGGUUGAAACUCAAG
rnacentral:rRNA from 1 species